rnacentral:rRNA from 1 species
UACGGAGGAUCCAAGCGUUAUCCGGAUUUAUUGGGUUUAAAGGGUGAGUAGGCGGUAGAGUAAGUCUGAAGUGAAAGCCCUGGGCUUAACCUGGGAGGUGCUUUAGAUACUGCGUUACUAGAGUGCGUGAGAGGGGGGUAGAAUUCCGCGUGUAGCAGUGAAAUGCGUAGAGAUGCGGAGGAAUACCGAUGGCGAAGGCAGCCCCCUGGGAUGACACUGACGCUGAAGCACGAAAGCGUGGGUAGCAAACAGG